UCCAACUUAUCGCUGGCGGUCUCCUGCGAGUUCCGCCUUUCGGCAUGGCAACACAGGACAAGGGUUGCGCUCGUUGCGGGACUUAACCCAACAUCUCACGACACGAGCUGACGACAGCCAUGCAGCACCUCGACUCCCGUCCCUUACGGGAACCCCCUGUUUCCAGGGGUAGCGUGAGCCGUUCGAGCCCAGGUAAGGUUCUUCGCGUUGCGUCGAAUUGAACCACAUGCUCCACCGCUUGUGCGGGCCCCCGUCAAUUCCUUUGAGUUUCAGCCUUGCGACUGUACUCCCCAGGCGGCACAUUUAACGCGUUAGCUCCGGCACGGACCAACUGAAUGGCCCACACCAAAUGUGCAUCGUUUAGGGCGUGGACUAC
rnacentral:misc_RNA from 1 species